AGACUCUUUCCGCAUCAAUCGCUCGCUCGCAUCGCUCGCACGACUCGGAUCUGAAAAUCGUAUGUCCCGCAAGCACUUCUCGCACGACUCGCUCGUCCGCAUCACCCGCAGUUCUCGCAUCGACUUCUCGCAUCGAUCGCACUGCCCGUGCGAGAGGGAACUCAAGGUAUCGAUGUAGAAGAAGUACAAGUAGGUAUCUAAAUUUGUGUGAAAAUUUGUUUUCAUGCAAUGCCUCACCUUUUGACGGCAAACUACAAACGUAUAUCGUA